rnacentral:rRNA from 1 species
UACAGAGGGGGCAAGCGUUGUUCGGAAUUACUGGGCGUAAAGGGCGCGUAGGCGGCCUACUAAGUCGGACGUGAAAUCCCCGGGCUCAACCCGGGAACUGCGUCCGAUACUGGAAGGCUUGAAUCCGGGAGAGGGAUGCGGAAUUCCAGGUGUAGCGGUGAAAUGCGUAGAUAUCUGGAGGAACACCGGUGGCGAAGGCGGCAUCCUGGACCGGCAUUGACGCUGAGGCGCGAAAGCCAGGGGAGCAA